CGAACGCUGGCGGCGUGGAUUAGGCAUGCAAGUCGAACGAUCUCUUUCGCAAGAGGGGGAUAGUGGCAAACGGGUGAGUAACGCGUGGGUAAUAUUCCUUUGAGUUUGGAAUAACUUGCCGAAAGGCGAACUAAUACCAAAUAAGACCACGGUCUAUCAAGGACAGUGGUUAAAGGCGGGGAUCCUGAAAAUGGACCCGUCGCUCAUUGAUUAGCCCGCGUCCUAUCAGCUUGUUGGUGGGGUAAAAGCCCACCAAGGCGAUGACGGGUAGCUGGUCUGAGAGGAUGGUCAGCCACACUGGGACUGAGACACUGCCCAGACUCCUACGGGAGGCUGCAGUCGAGAAUCUUUUGCAAUGCCCGAAAGGGUGACAAUGCGACGCCGCGUGAGCGAUGAAGGCCUUCGGGUUGUAAAGCUCUGUCAGCUUGGAUGAAAGUGUUAUGGUUAAUACCCAUAACAUUUGACGGUACAGGCAAAGGAAGCCACGGCUAACUCC
rnacentral:rRNA from 1 species